UGUUCCUGUCCUGGGUAGAGCGGCAUCUAGUUGGUGGUGCUCUUCGAAUAUCAGCCAGGGACAAAGCAACUCCUUAUUUAUUCCAGCUUGGCUUUUGGUCUGUCUAUGCUUGGUUCAUUCUCUGGACACAUGG